CAUGCAUGUAUUUAUGUGUGCAUAUAGUCAUUUCAAGUAUAUCUGAAAAGCGCUUGAAAAAGCUGCAGUUCAUAUGACUGCCGCCUCCUUUGCAAGCCCCCCCUUUUAACCUGGAAGAGACAUUCAGUCUAUUUGCAGAGACAUUACCAGAGUCUUCUCAUUGCAAAAACUCUGAAUCUGUUCUUUCUGUGUGUGGUGUGCAUGCUCGUACGUGCACCUCUGUUUUUUUGCCUACAUACAUUUAAACUAAAACAAUGGAAGCAAGCAAUAGUUUACAGCAUAACAUUGUAACUUGAUUUUAGUAUCUAAGUAGAAACAGCUGCUCAGUACCAUCAUGGACUCACCCC